GUUUACAUUGUCUUACUAUUUAUUGAGUGAAUUUCUGGUCAUUGCCUAUGCAAAUAUAAGAAAUCUGGCUUUAAAUAUUAGUCAGUUUCAUGGCUAUGACUAGAUUGUUUUCUUGUAUAACUAAAUACCUGUAUAAAAUGAACUAAUGUUUUCUCUCCCCUCCCUACCCCUUCCUUAUGAACAAUGCUUUAGGUAUAUUGAAAUCUUUAAGAGCAGUAGAGCUGAAGUUAGAACUCACUAUGAUCCACCACGAAAGCUUAUGGCCAUGCAGCGGCCAGGUCCCUAUGACAGACCUGGGGCUGGCAGAGGGUAUAACAGCAUUGGCAGAGGAGCUGGCUUUGAGAGGAUGAGGCGUGGUGCUUAUGGUGGAGGUACGUGAGGAUUCGCAAGGUUUGGCAAGUAGUCUGUUCCUUUGUCUAGGUGUUUUGAUUGAUUGUACUUUGUCUUUCAGGCUAUGGAGGCUAUGACGAUUACAAUGGCUAUAAUGAUGGCUAUGGAUUUGGGUCAGAUAGAUUUGGAAGAGGUAAGGUAAGAAUUGAAUUUCUCAGUUGAAGGAUGCUUACACUCUUGUCCAUCUAGACCUCAAUUACUGUUUUUCAGGAAUGUCUGAUCACAGAUACGGGGAUGGUGGCUCUACUUUCCAGAGCACAACAGGACACUGUGUACACAUGCGUGGAUUACCUUACAGAGCUACUGAGAAUGACAUUUAUAAUUUUUUUUCACCGCUCAAUCCUGUGAGAGUACACAUUGAAAUUGGUCCUGAUGGCAGAGUAACUGGUGAAGCAGAUGUCGAGUUCGCAACUCAUGAAGAUGCUGUGGCAGCUAUGUCAAAAGACAAAGCAAAUAUGCAACACAGAUAUGUAGAACUCUUCUUGAAUUCUACAGCAGGAGCAAGCGGUGGUGCUUACGAACACAGAUAUGUAGAACUCUUCUUGAAUUCUACAGCAGGAGCAAGCGGUGGUGCUUAUGGUAGCCAAAUGAUGGGAGGCAUGGGCUUGUCAAACCAGUCCAGUUACGGGGGCCCAGCCAGCCAGCAGCUGAGUGGUGGUUAUGGAGGCGG
rnacentral:sRNA from 1 species